AACGACCCCUGCCGGCUUGCCUACACAUUCCAAUUCGAACGAGCCCUCCGGUUUAGUUGCGCACGGGUGCGUAACGCGUUGGGAUUCUGCCCUUGGGUUGGGAUUACAGGUUGGAACGAACUGUUAUAACCGGUUAUUACGUUAAGUCAAAGAGUUAUUGGCCAAGGAUGAGGCCGCGUAGGAUUAGCUAGUUGGUGAGGUAAAGGCUCACCAAGGCGACGAACCUUAGCUGGUCUGAGAGGAUGAUCAGCCACACUGGGACUGAGACACGGCCCAGACUCCUACGGGAGGCAGCAGUGGGGAAUAUUGGACAAUGGGCGAAAGCCUGAUCCAGCAAUGCCGCGUGAGUGAUGAAGGCCUUAGGGUUGUAAAGCUCUUUUACCCGGGAUGAUAAUGACAGUACCGGGAGAAUAAGCUCCGGCUAACUCCGUG
rnacentral:rRNA from 1 species